UAGAAUGGAUUUAUCUAUCAGGACCCAGAGG
rnacentral:piRNA from 1 species